AUGCUUGGGUAGUAGUAAUUUAAUUUUUGAAACUCAAAGAAUUUGGCGGUGUUUUAGUCCUUUUAGAGGAAUCUGUCCUAUAAUUGAUAAUACACGAUUUGUUUUACUUAAUUUAUAUUAGUUUGUAUAUCGCCGUCAUAAGAUUAUUUUUAUUUUGAGAAUUAUUAAUUUUCUUGAUUUUAUAUUAAAAAAUAUGUCAGGUCAAGGUGCAGUUUAUAAUUAAGGUGGAGAUGGAUUACAAUAAUUUUAUUGUUAUUAUGGAUAAUUUUAUUUAAUUUUGAUUUGAAGGUGGAUUUAAUUGUAAGUUUAUUAUUAAUUUUUAUUUUGAUUUGGGCUCUAAAAUGUGUACAUAUCGCCCGUCGCUCUCACUUUAAAAUUGAG
rnacentral:rRNA from 1 species